rnacentral:rRNA from 1 species
GACGAACGCUGGCGGCGUGCUUAACACAUGCAAGUCGAACGAAGAGCGACGGAAGCUUGCUUCUAUCAAUCUUAGUGGCGAACGGGUGAGUAACGCGUAAUCAACCUGCCCUUCAGAGGGGGACAACAGUUGGAAACGACUGCUAAUACCGCAUACGAUCUAGUCUCGGCAUCGAGGAUGGAUGAAAGGUGGCCUCUACAUGUAAGCUAUCACUGAAGGAGGGGAUUGCGUCUGAUUAGCUAGUUGGAGGGGUAAUGGCCCACCAAGGCGAUGAUCAGUAGCCGGUCGGAGAGGAUGAACGGCCACAUUGGGACUGAGACACGGCCCAGACGCCUACGGGAGGCAGCAGUGGGGAAUCUUGCGCAAUGGACGAAAGUCUGACGGAGCAACGCCGCGGGAGUGAUGACGGCCGUCGGGUUGGAAAGCUCUGUUAAUCGGGACGAAAGGCCUUCUUGCGAAUAGUGAGAAGGAUUGACGGUACCGGAAUAGAAAGCCACGGCUAACUACGUG